CAGUCGCCACGGGAAUACGUAGGGCGCGAGCGUUGUCCGGAAUCAUUGGGCGUAAAGAGCUCGUAGGCGGUUUGUCGCGUCUGCCGUGAAAGUCCGGGGCUCAACCCCGGAUCUGCGGUGGGUACGGGCAGACUAGAGUGAUGUAGGGGAGACUGGAAUUCCUGGUGUAGCGGUGAAAUGCGCAGAUAUCAGGAGGAACACCGAUGGCGAAGGCAGCCCCCUGGGCCAACACUGACGCUGAGGCGCGAAAGCGUGGGGAGCAAACAGGAUUAGAUACCCCAGUAGUCCCUGUCUCUUAUAA
rnacentral:rRNA from 1 species